GGAUGUGAGGGUAAUCUGGCUGCAACAGCUGUCACCCCCAUUGAUCACCAGAGUUGAUUUGGCUGAUCUGGUUGGCUAGGCGGGUGUCCCCUUCCUCCCUCACCGCUCCACAUGUGUCCCUCCUGAGGCUGCAUACUUGGUCAAAGAGGAUGACCAUCCCCGAGAGAGGAAGACCGGUCUUCCAUCAAGGGUACAGAAGUAGCCGCGCUCCCCUGCUAGAACCUCCAAACAAACUCUCAAGGUGCA
rnacentral:snRNA from 1 species